AUGUGCCUUUCACACCCCACUGGCAUCAGCCACGGGUCCCCUCCAUUAAACACCCAUCCAUCAGUUGUCAGGGGAGAGGGCAUCAAAAAGGAGACAUUCACAAGUGCAUUUUGUUAUUUCGCUUUCUUUCUAUUCUCCCAGGUGCUGCAUGGAUUAUCGUGGUUAUGUCGACCAUUUGGACGUUUCGAACUUAGCAUCUAUGGACCUCGGGAAUGUCCUUGGGGAGGAAACAGCAAGAGGUAGUUAUGAGACACACCCUUCUCAGAGAUAAGUGCAGCAGCCCCACAAAGCCUCCUUACCUCGCUAAAGGAACCUACAAGGAAAUGGGAGGAUUUAUUUGAGAAGGAGCUCAGAAGGUAUCAGAAACAGUUACUCAAAGAAGCAAGGGACAAGCACUUCUUCAAAUUGGGGUGAGUCAAGUUUGCUUCUGUAUCCGUCAGACUUCUCGCAAUAUAGCUUAUCUAGCUGUACUUUUAAAGGCCCAGUGCAGUCAAAAACGUGAUUUUUCUGUGUUUUAUAUAGACCGAGUGUACAAAACCCCUGCUCUUUCCAUGACAAAUUGACCAGGUGAAUCCAGGUGAAAGCUAUAAUCCCCUAUUGAUGUUACUUGUUAAAUCCACUUCAAUCAGUGUAGAUGAAGGGGAGGAGACAGGUUAAAGAAGGAUUUUUAAGCCUUGAGAAAAUUGAGACCUGGAUUGUGUGUGUGUGCCAUUCAGAGGGUGAAUGGGCAAGACAAAAGAUUUAAGUGACUUAGAACAGGGUAUAGUAGUUGGUGCCAAGCGCACCGGUUUGUGGCAAGAACUGCAACGUUGCUGCCGCUAUGGGGCGGGAUGGAGUUUUGGCCUUUCCGUGGUGACAUCACAUUUAUCAAUAAAACCGCUAUUCGUUUAAAAAAAAAAAAAAAUUGUAAAUAAAAAUCUAUUAUACUCAAGACGUGUGGAAUAAAUCAUGUUUAUCUUGAACAAAUAUAAAUGAAUCAAGGUUUAUCAUCACGAUUUAUGUUUAUUGUUUGAACUGAACAAAUUGGAAAGACAAAUAUUACAUAGUGUUUUAUGGAAAUGAGCCCGAUUGAACCAAAUUAAGGCCAGUCUACACACCACAUGAGGGGCAGAGUUUUACUGUGUGUGUGUUGCAAAUGUAUUUCUUGCGCUUGAUGCGUGUGUACUGUGUCUUCCUAUCCUUCUUGGGUCCAUACACAUCGCAGUGCUUCUUCUUGUUGCUACCGACUGCAAUCUAGAAUGAUUAAAACAUUUAGUUCAGGAAUUUUACUUAACAUCUCACUCACAUAGUUACAGCAGGCCAAGGUAGGAGAGUCAGACACACGCAACAACACUCACACGUACUUUCGGUAUUGGAGUUGUUGGUUCUGUGGGUCGGGUGGAUGGGGCACCAGCAUCCUUCUCCUGAACGUAAUAACAUUCUGCAGAUUCCCACAAGAUAAUGUGUAGUUUCACAUGCUACAAAGGGUAAAGAGUGAGAGAAAAGCCGGAGACAGGCAGACAGGCAAAGAGACAGACAGCACCAAUAACCUAUGUUGAAACAGCAGGCCCAGGGAAGAGGAAGACAGAGUGAAGGCACAUAGCAAACCUUUUUGUUCCAUUUUCACUUGUUUUCACCUACACACACUUUCCACACGUGUGUUACCCCCGGGUCCAGUCGACCCAAACACCACAUAUGUAAUGUACAGUGCCAGUCAAAAGUUUGGACACACCUACUCAUUCCAGGGUUUUAAUUUAUUUUACUAUUUUCUACAUUGUAGAAUAAUAGUGAAGACAUCAAAACUAUGAAAUAAUACAUAUGGAAUAAUGUAGUAACUAAUAAAGUGUUAAAUAAAUCUAAAUAUAUUUUACAUUUGAGAUUCUUCAAAUAGCCACCCUUUGCCUUGAUGACAGCUUUGCA
ensembl:lncRNA uncharacterized LOC115208644